AACGAACGCUGGCGGCAGGCUUAACACAUGCAAGUCGAGCGCCCCGCAAGGGGAGCGGCAGACGGGUGAGUAACGCGUGGGAAUCUACCGUGCCCUACGGAAUAGCUCCGGGAAACUGGAAUUAAUACCGUAUACGCCCUACGGGGGAAAGAUUUAUCGGGGUAUGAUGAGCCCGCGUUGGAUUAGCUAGUUGGUGGGGUAAAGGCCUACCAAGUCGACGAUCCAUAGCUGGUCUGAGAGGAUGAUCAGCCACAUUGGGACUGAGACCCGGCCCAAACUCCUACGGGAGGCAGCAGUGGGGAAUAUUGGACAAUUGGCGCAAGCCUGAUCCAGCCAUGCCGCGUGAGUGAUGAAGGUCUUAGGAUUGUAAAGCUCUUUCACCGGUGAAGAUAAUGACGGUAACCGGAGAAGAAGCCCCGGCUAACUUCGUGCCAGCAGCCGCGGUAA
rnacentral:rRNA from 1 species